rnacentral:rRNA from 1 species
UACGUAGGGGGCAAGCGUUGUCCGGAAUUAUUGGGCGUAAAGCGCGUGUAGGCGGUCCGGUAAGUCGGUUGUGAAAGUCCAGGGCUCAACCCUGGGAUGCCGACCGAUACUGUCGGACUAGAGUUCGGAAGAGGCGAGUGGAAUUCCCGGUGUAGCGGUGAAAUGCGCAGAUAUCGGGAGGAACACCAAUGGCGAAGGCAGCUCGCUGGGACGUUACUGACGCUGAGACGCGAAAGCAUGGGGAGCGAACAGG